rnacentral:rRNA from 1 species
UACGUAGGUGGCAAGCGUUGUCCGGAUUUACUGGGCGUAAAGAGCGCGCAGGCGGUCAUCCAAGUCACGUGUGAAAGCCCCCGGCUCAACUGGGGAGGGUCACGCGAUACUGGUCGACUCGAAGGCAGGAGAGGGUAGUGGAAUUCCCGGUGUAGUGGUGAAAUGCGUAGAUAUCGGGAGGAACACCAGUGGCGAAGGCGACUGCCUGGCCUGUUCUUGACGCUGAGGCGCGAAAGCUAGGGGAGCAAACGGG